AAGAGGGAACCCGGUGGAAGUCCGGGACUGCCCCGCAGCGGUGAGCGGGAACGACCGCCGUCACACGCACUGGCCCCGGAAGGGGGCUGGGAAGCGACGGCCACUAGGAGUCCGCCCU
rnacentral:ncRNA from 2 species